rnacentral:rRNA from 1 species
GGUGACGAGUGGCGGACGGGUGAGUAAUGUCUGGGAAACUGCCCGAUGGAGGGGGAUAACUACUGGAAACGGUAGCUAAUACCGCAUAACGUCGCAAGACCAAAGAGGGGGACCUUCGGGCCUCUUGCCAUCGGAUGUGCCCAGAUGGGAUUAGCUAGUAGGUGGGGUAACGGCUCACCUAGGCGACGAUCCCUAGCUGGUCUGAGAGGAUGACCAGCCACACUGGAACUGAGACACGGUCCAGACUCCUACGGGAGGCAGCAGUGGGGAAUAUUGCACAAUGGGCGCAAGCCUGAUGCAGCCAUGCCGCGUGUAUGAAGAAGGCCUUCGGGUUGUAAAGUACUUUCAGCGAGGAGGAAGGCGUUGUGGUUAAUAACCGCAGCGAUGACGUUAUCGCAGAAGAAGCACCGGCUAACUCCGUGCCAGCACCCGGUAAUACGGAGGGUGCAAGCGUUAAUCGGAAUUACUGGGCGUAAAGCGCACGCAGGCGGUCUGUCAAGUCGGAUGUGAAAUCCCCGGGCUCAACCUGGGAACUGCAUCCGAAACUGGCAGGCUAGAGUCUUGUAGAGGGGGGUAGAUUCCAGGUGUAGCGGUGAAAUGCGUAGAGAUCUGGAGGAAUACCGGUGGCGAAGGCGGCCCCCUGGACAAAGACUGACG